rnacentral:rRNA from 1 species
UGGGGAAUAUUGGACAAUGGGCGAAAGCCUGAUCCAGCCAUGCCGCGUGUGUGAAGAAGGUCUUCGGAUUGUAAAGCACUUUAAGUUGGGAGGAAGGGCAGUAAGCGAAUACCUUGCUGUUUUGACGUUACCGACAGAAUAAGCACCGGCUAACUCUGUGCCAGCAGCCGCGGUAAUACAGAGGGUGCAAGCGUUAAUCGGAAUUACUGGGCGUAAAGCGCGCGUAGGUGGUUCGUUAAGUUGAAUGUGAAAGCCCCGGGCUCAACCUGGGAACUGCAUCCAAAACUGGCGAGCUAGAGUAGGGCAGAGGGUGGUGGAAUUUCCUGUGUAGCGGAGAAAUGCGUAGAGAUCUGGAGGAAUACCGAUGGCGAAGGCAGCCAUCUGGCCUAACACUGACGCUGAGGUACGAAAGCAUGGGGAGCAAACAGG